UACGGAGGGUGCGAGCGUUAUCCGGAUUCACUGGGUUUAAAGGGUGCGUAGGUGGGAAUGUAAGUCAGUGGUGAAAUCUCUGAGCUUAACUCAGAAACUGCCAUUGAUACUAUGUUUCUUGAAUUUUCUGGAGGUCAGCGGAAUAUGUCAUGUAGCGGUGAAAUGCUUAGAUAUGACAUAGAACACCAAUUGCGAAGGCAGCUUGCUAAACAAACAUUGACGCUGAGGCACGAAAGCGUGGGGAUCAAACAGG
rnacentral:rRNA from 1 species